rnacentral:rRNA from 1 species
CGCGGCCUAUCAGCUUGUUGGUGAGGUAAUGGCUCACCAAGGCUUAGACGGGUAGCUGGUCUGAGAGGAUGAUCAGCCACACUGGGACUGCGACACGGCCCAGACUCCUACGGGAGGCAGCAGUGGGGAAUAUUGGGCAAUGGGCGGAAGCCUGACCCAGCCACGCCGCGUGAGGGAUGACGGCCUUCGGGUUGUAAACCUCUUUCAGUAGGGACGAAGCGCAAGUGACGGUACCUACAGAAGAAGCACCGGCCAACUACGUGCCAGCAGCCGCGGUAAUACGUAGGGUGCAAGCGUUGUCCGGAAUUAUUGGGCGUAAAGAGCUCGUAGGCGGUCUGUCGCGUCGGCUGUGAAAACCCGAGGCUCAACCUCGGGCCUGCAGUCGAUACGGGCAAACUAGAGUACUGCAGGGGAGACUGGAAUUCCUGGUGUAGCGGUGAAAUGCGCAGAUAUCAGGAGGAACACCGGUGGCGAAGGCGGGUCUCUGGGCAGUAACUGACGCUGAGGAGCGAAAGCGUGGGGAGCGAACAGGAUUAGAUACCCUGGUAGUCCACGCCGUAAACGUUGGGCGCUAGAUGUGGGGCUCAUUCCACGAGUUCCGUGUCGUAGCUAACGCGUUAAGCACCCCGCCUGGGGAGUACGG